GCCUGCUCAUAAUUGCACAAUACAACUAAAACAACAAUUAAAUAGCUGCAGUAAUAUCUGACUGCACAAAGGUAGCAUAAUAAAUAGCCUACUAAUUAUAGGAUCGCAUGAAGGAAUAACGAAACUUUAACUGUCUCAAGAACUCAAAUCUAAAUUAGAAUGUGUGUGAAAAUCCGCACCAAAAUGGCAAGACGACAAGACCCUAUGAACUUUAUCUAUAAUCUUGGAAAACUUAUAUUAACAACAUGAAAAAUUAAGAAAGAUAAGAAAAACCAAGACCCAAAUUUCGUUGGGGCAACGAUCUUAAAAUAAAUAAAUAAGAUUUUCUCAAAAUCCUAAAACAAAAACACUCUUCAGUUACUACAAGAUAAGACCCGCUUACUUUUAGUAAGCGAACACAAAAAAAAGCUCCUUAGGGAUAACAGCGUAAUAUUGCACACAAAGAUCUUUUUCAUGCAAUGUUUGCGACCUCGAUGUUGAAUUACRA
rnacentral:rRNA from 1 species